GUUACAUUGUAUCCAGAGCCAACUGCAACCAGCAACUCUCAUCAUGGACCUCACACUGGGUAAUGGGGGGCACUAUUAUAUUGGGGUUCUCACACUGGGUAAUGGGGGACACUGUUAUAUUGGGGUUCUCAUACUGGGUAAUGGGGGUCACUAUUAUAUUGGGGAUCUCAUACUGGGUAAUGGGGGGCAAUAUAUUGGGGAUCUCAUACUGGGUAAUGGGAGAAACUAUUAUAUUGGGGUUCUCAUACUGGGUAAUGGGGGACACUAUUAUAUUGGGGUUCUCACACUGGGUAAUGGGGGGACACUAUUAUAUUGGGGUUCUCACACUGGGUAAUGGGGGUCACUAUUAUAUUGGGGUUCUCACACUGGGUAAUGGGGGACACUGUUAUAUUGGGGUUCUCAUACUGGGUAAUGGGGGUCACUAUUAUAUUGGGGAUCUCAUACUGGGUAAUGGGGGGCAAUAUAUUGGGGAUCUCAUACUGGGUAAUGGGAGAAACUAUUAUAUUGGGGUUCUCAUGCUGGGUAAUGGGGGACACUAUUAUAUUGGGGUUCUCACACUGGGUAAUGGGGGGACACUAUUAUAUUGGGGUUCUCAUACUAGGUAAUGGGAGACACUAUUAUAUUGGGGUUCUCAUACUGGGUAAUGGGGGACACUAUUAUAUUGGGGUUCUCAUACUGGGUAAUGGGGGAUACUAUUAUAUUGGGGUUCUCACACUGGGUAAUGGGGAACACUAUUAUAUUGGGGUUCUCAUACUGGGUAAUGGGAGACACUAUUAUAUUGGGGUUCUCAUACUGGGUAAUGGGGGCACUAUUAUAUUGGGGUUCUCAUACUGGGUAAUGGGGGAUACUAUUAUAUUGGGGUUCUCAUACUGGGUAAUGGGGGAUACUAUUAUAUUGGGGUUCUCAUACUGGAUAAUGGGGGACACUGUUAUGUUGAGUUCUCAUACUGGGUAAUGGGAGGACACUAUUAUAUUGGGGUUCUCAUACUGGGUAAUGGGGGACACUAUUAUAUUGGGGUUCUCAUACUGGGUAAUGGGGGACACUAUUAUAUUGGGGUUCUCAUACUGGAUAAUGGGGGAUACCAUUAUACACUGGGGUUCCCACUGCAAUGGGGGCACCAUUAUGUUGUGGGUUCCUCUACACUGGCAAUUGGGGACACCAUUAUGUUGGGGUUCCCCACCGUACUGGGGAUACUAUUAUAUUGGGGUUCCCAUACUGGAUAAUGGGGGACACCAUUACAUUGGGGUUCCCAUACUGCAAUAGGGACACUAUAUUGGGUUCCAUACUGGUAAUGGGGAUACUAUUAUAUUGGGGUUCCCCAUGCUGAUAAUGGGGACACUCCAUUAUAUUGGGGUUCCCCAUACUGAUAAUGGGGUCACUAUUAUAUUGGGGUUCUCACACGGGGUAAUGGGGGACACUGUUAUAUUGGGGUUCUCAUACUGGGUAAUGGGGGUCACUAUUAUAUUGGGGAUCUCAUACUGGGUAAUGGGGGGCAAUAUAUUGGGGAUCUCAUACUGGGUAAUGGGAGAAACUAUUAUAUUGGGGUUCUUAUACUGGGUAAUGGGGGACACUAUUAUAUUGGGGUUCUCAUACUAGGUAAUGGGAGACACUAUUAUAUUGGGGUUCUCAUACUGGGUAAUGGGGGACACUAUUAUAUUGGGGUUCUCAUACUGGGUAAUGGGGGAUACUAUUAUAUUGGGGUUCUCACACUGGGUAAUGGGGAAAACUAUUAUAUUGGGGUUCUCAUACUGGGUAAUGGGAGACACUAUUAUAUUGGGGUUCUCAUACUGGGUAAUGGGGGCACUAUUAUAUUGGGGUUCUCAUACUGGGUAAUGGGGGAUACUAUUAUAUUGGGGUUCUCAUACUGGGUAAUGGGGGAUACUAUUAUAUUGGGGUUCUCAUACUGGAUAAUGGGGGACACUAUUAUAUUGGGGUUCUCAUACUGGAUAAUGGGGGACACUGUUAUGUUGAGUUCUCAUACUGGGUAAUGGGAGGACACUAUUAUAUUGGGGUUCUCAUACUGGGUAAUGGGAGGACACUAUUAUAUUGGGGUUCUCAUACUGGGUAAUGGGGGACACUAUUAUAAUGGGGUUCUCAUACUGGAUAAUGGGGGGAUACUAUUAUACUGGGGUUCUCAUACUGGGUAAUGGGGGGCACUAUUAUGUUGGGGUUCUCAUACUGGGUACUGGGGGGACACUAUUAUAUUGGGGUUCUCAUACUGGGUAAUGGGGGGAUACUAUUAUAUUGGGGUACUCAUAGUGGAUAAUGGGGGGACACUAUUACAUAGUUACAUAGUUACAUAGCUGCAAAGAGACUUGCGUCCAUCAAGUUCAGCCUUCCUCACAUUUGUUUUUUUUAGCUGUUGAUCCAAAAGAAGCAAAAAACCCAGUUUGAAGCACAAUUUUGCAACAAGCUAGGAAAAAAUUUCCUUCUUGACCCCAGAAUGGCAGUCAGAUUUAUCCUUGGAUCAAGCAGUUAUUACCCUACAUUGAAAGAUUAUAUCCUUGAAUAUUUUGUUCUUGCAAGUAUGCAUCUAGUAGCCGUUUGAACAUCCGUAUGGACUCUGAUAAAACCACUUCUUCAGGCAGAGAAUUCCACAUCCUGAUUGUUCUUACAGUAAAAAAACCUUUCCUUUGCCUUAGACGAAAUCUUCUUUCUUCCAGUCUAAACGCAUGGCCUCGCGUCCUAUGUAAAGUCCGGUUUGUGAAUAGAUUUCCACACAAUGGUUUGUAUUGGCCCCGAAUAUAUUUGUAUAAUGUUAUCAUAUCCCCUCUCAGGCGACGUUUUUCUAAACUAAAUAGGUUUGAAUUUGUUAACCUUUCUUCAUAGCUGAUAUGUUCCAUUCCUUUUAUUAAUUUUGUAGCCCGCCUCUGCACUUUUUCUAGUGCCAUAAUAUCCUUCUUUAGAACAGGUGCCCAAAAUUGCACAGAAUAUUCAAUAUGGGGUCUUACCAGUGAUUUAUAAAGAGGCAAAAUUAUAUUCAUUUAGGACACAGGUUGCAGCCCUUUCAGUGUAAAUGUAAUCAGUAUGUUUAUAGAGAAGUUUCGGUGAGCAGUGAGAACAGUUUCAGUAGAUAAAUGAAAACAUUAUAAAGCAUCAUGGGAGUUGUAGUUCUGUAGCAGCUGGAGAUGUACCUAUGGCCAGCCCUGCUGUAUGUUCACCUGGUAUUUCUAUUUUCUAUUGUAAGAAAUGACGACAUUUUCUCAUCCACUAAAUAGCAGUAAUAAUAUUUACACAGUGUGUGUAUGGGGGCGAUAGUUAUAAUAUUGUCGCUGUCUGUAUCUAUCGCGGGUUCGGUAAAAUUAUUGGUGGUUUUCCAUUUGUUACACGUUUGAGUGUUUUUAUUGUAGUUUUGGAAUGAAAACUCCAAAGAGUAAGUUUCCCAGCACUGAGGGCGUACAUUCUCCUGAUCCUUAAUGUGUUCUCCUGUCUAUUGGGAAUAUAAAGGGGAGGUUUAGCAGAAAUGGGGGGGUUAAGUUUUAGAUAUCCAGAGAAAUGACAGUGAGGAAUUAUUUAUGGGUUCAGUAAGAUUGAGGGAAGAUACCAAAUGUGACAAAUUCAUGUGUUAAAGGGUUACUCCAACCAAAAUAAAAACCAACUUUGUUUUAACGAAACACUGUUUUGGGAUGAAGAGAAUGAAGGGAAGUGAUUUCUAUCCCAUGCCAAGGCCAAGUUCUCCCUAAGUCUGAUCGUUCUCCGGUGCAAGAGGAGUGACAUCAUGGAGGAUGGGCUGUGGGGAGAAGUUGGGCAGCAUGAAGGGGUAUUCAUGGAACCAGUGGUUGUCUCAGUUCUGUGUGAAAUAUGCACAGAACUCACAUUUGUCAGCCUGGAAAUGUUCCAGACUGGCCAAUGACAGCCCAAGGAGGGGUUACACCUCCAUCAGCUAUGUGUUUUAUUUCUUUGUUUACAAUGUUUCUCAGUAAAAUGCAGCACAUACCGACUCCAAGCACCAUGACCACUUCAGAUCAUGGAUGGUGUAUGGAGUAACCAUUUAAUGAAAUAAUUUGCUUCCUUACCUCUCUGAACCUGGUUUAUUCUGGUUUAUUUUCUGGGACUGUAAUAAAGAAACAUCGCGAUUAUGAACAGAUCUGUAACCCAGGUACCACAUUGUGUUUUUAUACUAUCCUGCUCUGUAAUGAAUGUAACUGUGUCUGUCUUCCAGCUCUCCUGCUCCUCCCGCUGGGUAUCUCCUCUGGUUCAGACAUUGUGCAGGUCGCGGUGGGUUCAGACCUAGCUCUGUGUGGGAUGACGUGCGGUGCGAAGGGUUUCGUGAUUCUUGAUUGUUCCUCUAAACCAGAACCGAUCCUGGAAUACAACUGUGAACAACAUUAUAUGAAGUUAUUUAGUAAUUACUGGCACAGGGUGGACUUCAAUGAACUGAAUGGAUGUGCAAUAAUCAGAAAUGUUCAGAAGAGCGAUUCUGGUCGAUAUAUGUGGAUACUCAUUGAGGAGGAUGGUACAGAAAGUAUGUACCAGUCUGCACGUCACAGCAUUGUAGGUAAGUUGUCUGUGAUCUAUANNNNNNNNNNNNNNNNNNNNNNNNNNNNNNNNNNNNNNNNNNNNNNNNNNNNNNNNNNNNNNNNNNNNNNNNNNNNNNNNNNNNNNNNNNNNNNNNNNNNCCCCGCCCCUCUGUGCGUCUCUUGUCCCCCUCCCUCCCCCGGCCCCUCUGUGCUGGGUAAUGUUUGGACAGUCUUAAUAUAUUGGGAUGGUUUUCAACUUCUUGAAUAUGUACCUAGGUCAGAAGGGUAGAUGGACGUGCAUUGUGCAAAACUUUCUGGCGUAAUGGGUGUGGCGUAAUAAAGAAACAUUGGGGUAUGAAGCAGAUCUUUUACACUCUGUAUCCUGAUCUGUAAUUAAUGUAACGGUGUCUGUCUUCCAGCUCUCCUGCUCCUCCCGCUGGGUCUCUCCUCUGGUUCAGACAUUGUACGGGUCGCGGUGGGUUCAGACCUAUCUCUGUGCGGGAUGACGUGCGUCACGGGGGGAUACGCUAUCCUUGACUGUUCUCCUAAACCAGAACCGAUCCUGGAAUACAACUGUGAUAACAGUUAUUGGAAGCCAUUUAGGAAUUACCGGCACAGGGUUGAUU
rnacentral:lncRNA from 1 species